UUGGAGGGCAAGUCUGGUGCCAGCAGCCGCGGUAAUUCCAGCUCCAAUAGCGUAUAUUAAAGUUGUUGCAGUUAAAAAGCUCGUAGUUGAAUUUCGGGACCAAUUUGUUGGUCGUGCCUCGGUACGUACUGGUAUUAUUGGUUUCUCCCUUCUGAAGAACCUCGAUGCCAUUGAUUUGGUGUCGUGGGGAAUCAGGACUGUUACUUUGAAAAAAUUAGAGUGUUUAAAGCAGGC
rnacentral:rRNA from 1 species